GUCGCGGACGCCGUGGCGCCCUCUGUCGCCCCGAGGCAAGCAGGUGGACCCAGCUGAGAAGAAGUCUGUGUCGCUGUGUGGUGAGCUCUCCAGGCCAGGUGCCGCGCGGCCUCCACCUCUGCGGUAACCGGCCUGCCCCCGACCCCUGUCCCCAAGCCGAGCCGUGUUGACGAAAAUGAAAUAACAAAAUAAAUAAGGAAAAGGACCCCUUCCUGUGUCCAGAGGAGAGGCAGCGUGGGGAAUAGGAAACUUGUCGAGAGGCUCCUUUGAGCCCAACAAACUGACGCAUAUAAAUUUUGUUUGUUUAAUGGUAAUACUACUGAGAAGGGUGCAAGGAAAUGGAUACUCAGUGCUGAUGAGAUUGUAAAUUGUUGCGACAGUUUUUGAGAGCAGAUUGAUGAUUUUUUUUUUUUUAGACUUGGGAACUUUUUUUUUUUUAAGACGGUGUCUCCCUCAGUUGCCCAGCCUGGAGUGUAGUGGCGCGAUCUCCGCUAACUACCACCUCUGCCUCCCACGUUCAAGCGAUUCUCCUGCCUCAGUCUCCUGAGUAGCUGGGAUUACAGGCACUCGCCGUCAUGCCCGGAUCCUUUUUGUAUUUUUGUAGAAACGGGUUUUCACCAUGUUGGCAAUAUUUUUUUAAAGCCUUAAAAACACUCUUUCGGGCCAGGAGCGGUGGCUCACGCCUGUAAUCCCAAUUUUGGGAGGCCCAGGCAAGAGGAUCACUUGAGCCCAGGAGUUCGAGACUAGCCUGGGCAACAUAGUGAGUCCCCCGUCUCUAUUAGCUGGGCAUGGUUGUGUGCAGCUGUCGUCCAAGCUACUGAGGAGGCUGAGGCUGGAGGAUCACUUGAGCCCAGGAGUUUGAGGCUGCAGUGAGCUAUGAUCACACCACUGCACACCAGCCAGGGCUACAGAGCAAGACUCCCUUUAAAAAAACUUUCAUCCAGGCCAGGCGCGGUGGCUCACGCCUGUAAUUCCAGAACUUUGGGAGGCCGAGACGGGUGGAUCACGAGGUCAGGAGUUCAAGACCAGCCUGGCCAAGAUGGUGAAACCCAUCUCUACUAAAAAUACAAAAAAUUAGCUGGGCGUGGUGGCGGGUGCCUGUAAUCCCAACUACUUGGGGGGCUGAGGCAGAGAAUUGCUUGAACUCGGGAGGCGGAGGUUGCAGUGAUCCAAGAUCACACCACUGCACUCCAGCCUGGGCGACAGAGUGAGACCCCGUCUCAAAAAAAAAAAGAACUUUAAUCCAAAAAUUCCAAUUCUGUGAAUUACUAAAGAAAUAAGAUGUGAAUAAAGAGCUUAAUAAGAGGCACAAUACCCAUUUAAAAGUGCACAUUCAGUGUUCCUCUUCCCCUUUCCCAUCCUAAAAUACUAAGUGUCAAAGACAUUAGGUGUACAGAACAAAGGAAACGUGUACAGAACAAAGGAAACAUCUACACCUGGUUAUCCACAGCCAGGUGUUGGUGACCUAGCAGGUAAGGAGGCUGAGGAACCUGAGAAAAUGAAGAGGGCUUGAACACCUGGGAGGCAGUCCUACACAAAGUCUUAGCCGUAGGGCCCAAGAGGGGAGAACAAGGCAUCCAAGUGGGGAAGGCCUAGAAGCUUAGAUGGGAGGUUAGUUGCAUUCAGGAUGGUUGAUUAAGUCACUAAAUAUAUUAAGCAUGACAGAGCCAGCUUUCUCACUGUGGUAGAAUGACGUUAGAAGUAUGGGAAGGGAGAAUACCUUACGCUAUUGUAUUGGAAUUGGAGGUAUCAGUGUGAACUCAUUGUUUUGUUUUGUUUUUUGGGGGGGUGUUUUUGUUUUGUUUUGUUUUUGUUUUUGAGUGGCGUUUUGCUCUUUUUGCCCAGGCUUGAGUGCAAUGGCGCAACCUUGGCUCAUUGCAACCUCCACCUCCCAAGCUCAAGUGAUUCUCCUGCCUCAGCCUCCCAAGUAGCUGGGAUUACAGGCAUGCACCACCAUGCCUGGCUAAUUUUGUAUUUUUAGUAGAGACAGGAUUUCACCAUGUUGGCCAGGCUGGUCUCAAACUCCUGACCUCAGGUGAUCCGCCCACCUCGGCCUCCCAAAGUGCUGGGUUUACAGGCGUGAGCCACUGCGCCCGGCCUGAACUCAUAGUUUUUUAAAAAAUAAAUUAUUCUGGGUGGAUGCAGUGGCGGCUACCACCUGUAAUCCCAGCACUUUGUGAGGCCAAAGCUGGAAGAUCACUUGAGGUCAGGACUUCAAGAUCAGCCUGGCCAACAUGGUGAAACCCCGUCUCUACUAAAUUACAAAAAUUAGCCAGGCAUGGUGGUGGGCACCUGUAAUCCCAGCUACUCAGGAGGCUGAGGCAGGAUAAUUGCCUGAACCAGGGAGGCAGAGUUUG
rnacentral:lncRNA from 1 species